GGCGCAGUGGCAGAGUGGUUAUUGCGUAUGACUAGAAUAUAUUCCUAUUCUAUCAUAUUCCCUUGGGAGCGCCUGUUCGAAUCAGGUCUGCGUCG
rnacentral:tRNA from 1 species